rnacentral:rRNA from 1 species
GAUAGUGAACCAGUACCGUGAGGGAAAGGCGAAAAGAACCCCGGCGAGGGGAGUGAAAAAGAACCUGAAACCGUGUACGUACAAGCAGUGGGAGCACAGAGCAAUCUGUGUGACUGCGUACCUUUUGUAUAAUGGGUCAGCGACUUAUAUUCUGUAGCAAGGUUAACCGAAUAGGGGAGCCGAAGGGAAACCGAGUCUUAACUGGGCGUUAAGUUGCAGGGUAUAGACCCGAAACCCGGUGAUCUAGCCAUGGGCAGGUUGAAGGUUGGGUAACACUAACUGGAGGACCGAACCGACUAAUGUUGAAAAAUUAGCGGAUGACUUGUGGCUGGGGGUGAAAGGCCAAUCAAACCGGGAGAUAGCUGGUUCUCCCCGAAAGCUAUUUAGGUAGCGCCUCGUGAAUUCAUCUCCGGGGGUAGAGCACUGUUUCGGCAAGGGGGUCAUCCCGACUUACCAACCCGAUGCAAACUGCGAAUACCGGAGAAUGUUAUCACGGGAGACACACGGCGGGUGCUAACGUCCGUCGUGAAGAGGGAAACAACCCAGACCGCCAGCUAAGGUCCCAAAGUCAUGGUUAAGUGGGAAACGAUGUGGGAAGGCCCAGACAGCCAGGAUGUUGGCUUAGAAGCAGCCAUCAUUUAAAGAAAGCGUAAUAGCUCACUGGUCGAGUCGGCCUGCGCGGAAGAUGUAACGGGGCUAAACCAUGCACCGAAGCUGCGGCAGCGACACUGUGUGUUGUUGGGUAGGGGAGCGU